CUACGGGGUGCAGCAGUGAGGAAUUUUGCGCAAUGGGGGAAACCCUGACGCAGCAACGCCGCGUGAGUGAAGAAGGCCCUUGGGUCGUAAAGCUCUGUCAAUGGGGAAGAAGUUACUUGGUAUUAAUAGUGCCUUGUAUUGACGGUACCCAUGAAGGAAGCACCGGCUAACUCCGUGCCAGCAGCCGCGGUAAUACGGGGGGUGCAAGCGUUAUUCGGAAUUAUUGGGCGUAAAGGGCACGCAGGCGGUCCUGUCAGUCAGAUGUGAAAGCCCGGGGCUCAACCCCAGACGUGCAUUUGAAACAGCAGGACUUGAGUACGGGAGAGGAAAGGGGAAUUCCUGGUGUAGAGGUGAAAUUCGUAGAUAUCAGGAGGAACACCGGUGGCGAAGGCGCCUUUCUGGACCGAUACUGACGCUGAGGUGCGAAGGCGUGGGUAGCGAACGGGAUUAGAUACCCCCGUAGUC
rnacentral:rRNA from 1 species